GUAGGUGGCAAGCGUUGUCCGGGAAUUAUUGGGCGUAAAGCGCGCGCAGGCGGUCCUUUAAGUCUGAUGUGAAAGCCCACGGGCUCAACCGUGGAGGGUCAUUGGAAAACUGGGGGACUUGAGUACAGAAGAGGAAAGCGGAAUUCCAAGUGUAGCGGUGAAAUGCGUAGAGAUUUGGAGGAACACCAGUGGCGAAGGCGGCUUUCUGGUCUGUAACUGACGCUGAGGCGCGAAAGCGUGGGGAGCAAACAGGAUUAGAUACCCUGGUAGUCCACGCUGUAAACGAUGAGUGCUAAGUGUUAGGGGGUUUCCGCCCCUUAGUGCUGCAGCUAACGCAUUAAGCACUCCGCCUGGGGAGUACGGCCGCAAAGGCUGA
rnacentral:rRNA from 1 species